GACGAACGCUGGCGGCGUGCUUAACACAUGCAAGUCGAACGGAGUGGCGAACGGGUGAGUAACACGUGGGUGAUCUGCCUUGCACUUCGGGAUAAGCUUGGGAAACUGGGUCUAAUCCCGUAUCGUGCGAGAUGGGCUCGCGGCCUAUCCGCUUGUUGGUGGGGUAAUGGCCUACCAAGGCGUCGACGGGUAGCCGGCCUGAGAGGGUGUACGGCCACAUUGGGAAUGAGAUACGGGCCAGACUCCGACGGGAGGCAGCAGUGGGGAAUAUUGCACAAUGGGCGGAAGCCUGAUGCAGCGACGCCGCGUGGGGGAUGAAGGCCUUCGGGUUGUAAACUCCUUUCGACAGGGACGCGGUACCUGAAGAAGAAGCACCGGCUAACUACGUGCCAGCAGCCGCGGUAAGAG
rnacentral:rRNA from 1 species